rnacentral:rRNA from 1 species
CCUACGGGUGGCAGCAGUGAGGAAUAUUGGUCAAUGGACGGAAGUCUGAACCAGCCAAGCCGCGUGCAGGAUGACGGCUCUAUGAGUUGUAAACUUCUUUUGUACGGGAAUAAUAGUUCUUACGUGUAGUGGUUUGAAUGUAUCGUACGAAUAAGGAUCGGCUAACUCCGUGCCAGCAGCCGCGGUAAUACGGAGGAUUCGAGCGUUAUCCGGAGUUAUUGGGUUUAAAGGGUGCGUAGGCUGUUGGAUAAGUUAGAGGUCAAAUGUCGGGGCUUAACCCCGGGCCUGCCUCUGAUACUGUGUGACGAGAGAGCGGAUGCAGCAGGCGGAAUGAGUAGUGUAGCGGGGAAAUGCUUAGAUAUUACUCAGAACACCGAUUGCGCAGGCAGCUUGCUAAUCCGCAUCUGACGCUGAUGCACGAAAGCGUGGGUAGCGAACAGGAUUAGAUACCCUGGUAGUC